GACGAACGCUGGCGGCGUGCCUAAUGCAUGAAGUCGAACGCAGCAAGCUUGCUUGGCUGCGUGGCGCACGGCUGAGGAAACGUGGGUACCAACCCCGGAGUGGGGGAUACCCCGUCGAAAGACGGGACAUCCCGCAUACGAUCCGCAAGGAGGAAAGGCGCAAGCCGCUCUGGGACGGCCUGCGGCCCAUCAGGUAGUUGGUGUGGUAACGGCGCACCAAGCCGAUACGGGUCCCUGGUCUGAGAGGACGACCAGGCAGACUGGGACUGAGACACGCCCAGACUCCUACGGGAGGCAGCAGCAAGGAAUUUUCCCCAAUGGGCGCAGCCUGAGGGAGCAACGCCGCGUGCAGGACGACGGCCUUCGGGUUGUAACUGCUUUUGGGGGGGACGAUGAUGACGGUACCCCCCGAAUAAGCCCCGCUAACUCCGUGCCAGCAGCCGCGGUAAGACGGAGGGGGCAAGCGUUGUCGGAAUCACUGGGCGUAAAGCGCGCGUAGGCGGUACGUUGCGUCGGUGCUAAAGCGCUCCGCUCAACGGGGCGAGGCGCGUCGAUACGACCGAACUAGAGCAGUGAGAGGUUGGCGGAAUUCCGGGUGUAGUUGUGAUAAGCGUAGAUUCCGGAGGAACGCCGGUGGCGCAAGCGGCCAACUGGCACUGACCUGACGUGAGGCACGAAAGCGUGGGGAGCGAACCGGAUUAGAUACCCGGGUAGUCACGCCGUAAACGAUGUCGGCU
rnacentral:rRNA from 1 species